GAUGAACGCUGGCGGCGUGCCUAAUACAUGCAAGUCGAGCGCAAAGAUCAGGAGCUUGCUCCUGUGAUUUGAGCGGCGGACGGGUGAGUAACACGUAGGCAACCUACCCUUGAGAUUGGGAUAACUACCGGAAACGGUAGCUAAUACCGGAUACGACCUUUCCACAUAAGUGGAAUUGUUAAAAGGCGGAUUUAUCUGCCGCUCAUGGAUGGGCCUGCGGUGCAUUAGCUAGUUGGUGAGAUAGUAGCUCACCAAGGCGACGAUGCAUAGCCGACCUGAGAGGGUGAUCGGCCACACUGGGACUGAGACACGGCCCAGACUCCUACGGGAGGCAGCAGUAGGGAAUCUUCCGCAAUGGACGAAAGUCUGACGGAGCAACGCCGCGUGAGUGAUGAAGGGUUUCGGCUCGUAAAACUCUGUUGUUAAGGAAGAAUACUUGAGGUAGUAACUGGCCUUGAGAUGACGGUACUUAACCAGAAAGCCACGGCUAACUACGUGCCAGCAGCCGCGGUAAUACGUAGGUGGCAAGCGUUAUCCGGAAUUAUUGGGCGUAAAGCGCGCGUAGGCGGUAAAAUAAGUCUGAUGUGAAAGCCCCCGGCUCAACCGGGGAGGGUCAUUGGAAACUGUUUUACUUGAGUACAGAAGAGGAGAGUGGAAUUCCAUGUGUAGCGGUGAAAUGCGCAGAGAUAUGGAGGAACACCAG
rnacentral:rRNA from 1 species